CGCGUAGGCGGGUCGUUAAGUCAGAGGUGAAAUGCCGAGGCUCAACCUCGGAACUGCCUUUGAUACUGGCGACCUGGAGUUCGGGAGAGGUGAGUGGAAUUCCGAGUGUAGAGGUGAAAUUCGUAGAUAUUCGGAGGAACACCAGAAGCGAAGGCGGCUCACUGGCCCGAUACUGACGCUGAGGCGCGAAAGCGUGGGGAGCAAACA
rnacentral:rRNA from 1 species